GUUGUAUGGUUAAGUGACUAAGCGUACACGGUGGAUGCCUUGGCAGUCAGAGGCGAUGAAAGACGUAGUAACUUGCGAUAAGCCCAGAUUAGGUAGUAACAACCAUUUGAGUCUGGGAUUUCUGAAUGGGGAAACCCACUUACAUAAGUAAGUAUCCUUAUCUGAAUACAUAGGGUAAGGAGGCGAACCGGGGGAACUGAAACAUCUAAGUACCCCGAGGAAAAGAAAUCAACCGAGAUUCCGAAAGUAGCGGCGAGCGAAAUUGGACUAGCCCUUAAGCUUUACACGCGUUAGACGAACGGUCUGGAAAGUCCGACGAUACAGGGUGAUAGUCCCGUAGUUGACGACGUGUGUUCAGUGAAAUCGAGUAGGGCGGGACACGUGAUAUCCUGUCUGAAUAUGGGGGGACCAUCCUCCAAGGCUAAAUACUACUGACUGACCGAUAGUGAACCAGUACCGUGAGGGAAAGGCGAAAAGAACCCCUGUGAGGGGAGUGAAAUAGAACCUGAAACCGUGUACGUACAAGCAGUAGGAGCAGGCUUGUCCUGUGACUGCGUACCUUUUGUAUAAUGGGUCAGCGACUUAUAUUCAGUGGCAAGGUUAACCAUCUAGGGGAGCCGUAGGGAAACCGAGUCUUAACUGGGCGUUCAGUCUCUGGAUAUAGACCCGAAACCAGGUGAUCUAGCCAUGGGCAGGUUGAAGGUUGAGUAACAUCAACUGGAGGACCGAACCGACUAAUGUUGAAAAAUUAGCGGAUGACUUGUGGCUAGGGGUGAAAGGCCAAUCAAACCUGGAGAUAGCUGGUUCUCCCCGAAAGCUAUUUAGGUAGCGCCUCGGACGAAUACUACUGGGGGUAGAGCACUGUUAAGGCUAGGGGGUCAUCCCGACUUACCAACCCUUUGCAAACUCCGAAUACCAGUAAGUACUAUCCGGGAGACACACGGCGGGUGCUAACGUCCGUCGUGGAGAGGGAAACAACCCAGACCGCCAGCUAAGGUCCCAAAUUACUACUAAGUGGGAAACGAUGUGGGAAGGCUCAGACAGCCAGGAUGUUGGCUUAGAAGCAGCCAUCAUUUAAAGAAAGCGUAAUAGCUCACUGGUCGAGUCGGCCUGCGCGGAAGAUGUAACGGGGCUAAGUAGUAAACCGAAGCUGCGGCAAUAUACUUUUGUAUAUUGGGUAGGGGAGCGUUCUGUAAGCGGUUGAAGGUGUGUGGUAACGCAUGCUGGACGUAUCAGAAGUGCGAAUGCUGACAUGAGUAACGAUAAAGGGGGUGAAAAACCUCCUCGCCGGAAGACCAAGGGUUCCUGUCCAACGUUAAUCGGGGCAGGGUAAGUCGACCCCUAAGGCGAGGCCGAAAGGCGUAGUCGAUGGGAAACGGGUUAAUAUUCCCGUACUUCUUACAAUUGCGAUGGGGGGACGGAGAAGGCUAGGUGGGCCUGGCGACGGUUGUCCAGGUUCAAGUGCGUAGGCUUAAGAGUUAGGUAAAUCCGGCUCUUU
rnacentral:rRNA from 1 species